rnacentral:tRNA from 1 species
AUUAGGGUGGCAUAGCACGGUUAUUGCAGGGGGCCUAAAACCCCCCAUCAGAAGUUCAACUCUUCUCCCUAACA